CUACGGGCCGCUGCAGUGAGGAAUAUUGCACAAUGGGGGGAACCCUGAUGCAGCAACGCCGCGUGAGUGAUGAGGGCUUUCGGGUCGUAAAGCUCUGUCAAGUGGGAAGAACCUAUGCAGUGUUAAUAUCACUGUAUACUGACGGUACCACUGAAGGAAGCACCGGCUAACUCCGUGCCAGCAGCCGCGGUAAUACGGGGGGUGCAAGCGUUAUUCGGAAUCAUUGGGCGUAAAGGGCACGUAGGCGGCUUGGUAAGUCAGAUGUGAAAGCCCGGGGCUUAACCCCGGAAGUGCAUUUGAUACUGUCAGACUUGAGUAUGGGAGAGGGAAGUGGAAUUCCUGGUGUAGAGGUGAAAUUCGUAGAUAUCAGGAGGAACACCGGUGGCGAAGGCGACUUCCUGGACCAAUACUGACGCUGAGGUGCGAAGGCGUGGGUAGCAAACAGGAUUAGAUACCCCCGUAGUC
rnacentral:rRNA from 1 species